AGUGGCGGACGGGUGAGUAACGCGUGGGUAACCUGCCUCAUACAGGGGAUAACAGUUAGAAAUGACUGCUAAUACCGCAUAAGACCACAGCACCGCAUGGUGUAGGGGUAAAAACUCCGGUGGUAUGAGAUGGACCCGCGUCUGAUUAGGUAGUUGGUGGGUAACGGCCUACCAAGCCGACGAUCAGUAGCCGACCUGAGAGGGUGACCGGCCACAUUGGGACUGAGACACGGCCCAA
rnacentral:rRNA from 1 species